GCUAUAUUAGGAUGAAGGUUUCUCGUGGGUGGAUGUAUGACGAUUGGAGGUGUCACUGCUAUGUAUGGAUGAGGGUUGUUCUUCACUGGAGGUGCCGCGUUUGGAAGUGCUACUGCUAUAUUGAGACCAAAGGGUUUCUUACAUGGAGGUACCGCGAAUGGCAUGUUAUUGCGGACGAGGGCUGUUUCCGAUGCGGAUGGCAUGGGGUGCGAAUUGUUUCAGGUAUAGAUGUGGGAGGGUGUUGUUUUUAAAUUAAACACGAUGGGAUAUUUUUGACACCUUGAGUUGGGCCGACUCGCGAAUAUGUUUACAUUAAUCAAGCCC
rnacentral:lncRNA from 1 species